AGUAAAAGUUUAAUGAAAGUAAAAGUCGUAACAAGGUCUCCGUUGGGAACCAGCGGAGGGAUCAUUACUGUGUAUACAACUCCCAAACCCCUGUGAACAUACCACUUGUUGCCUCGGCGGAUCAGCCCGUUCCCGGUAAAACGGGACGGCCCGCCAGAGGACCCCUAAACUCUGUUUCUAUACGUAACUUCUGAGUAAAACCAUAAAUAAAUCAAAACUUUCAACAACGGAUCUAUGGGUUAUGGCAUCGAUGAAGAACGCAGCAAAAUGCGAUAAAUAAUGUGAAUUGCAAGAAUUCAGUGAAUCAUCGAAUCUCAGAACGCACAUUGCGCCCGCCAGUAUUCUGGCGGGCAUGCAUGUUCGAGCGUCAUUUCACCCCUCAAGCCCUCGGAUAAGGUGAUGGGGAUCGGCGAGCCCUUGCGCCAAACCGGCCCCGAAAUCUAGUGGCGGUCUCGCUGCAGCCUACACUGCGAAGUAGUAAAACCCUCGCAACGUGGAACGCGGCGCGGCCAAGCCGUUAAACCCCCAACUUCUGAAUGUGACCUCGGAUCAGGCAGAUACCCAAGUUC
rnacentral:rRNA from 1 species